CGGGGUGCUCGAGUGGCGAACGGGUGAGUAACACGUGAGUAACCUGCCCUUGACUUUGGGAUAACUUCAGGAAACUGGGGCUAAUACCGGAUAGGAGCUCCUGCUGCAUGGUGGGGGUUGGAAAGUUUCGGCGGUUGGGGAUGGACUCGCGGCUUAUCAGCUUGUUGGUGGGGUAGUGGCUUACCAAGGCUUUGACGGGUAGCCGGCCUGAGAGGGUGACCGGCCACAUUGGGACUGAGAUACGGCCCAG
rnacentral:rRNA from 1 species